rnacentral:lncRNA from 1 species
AUAAAAUACAACUUACAUUUCAAUAUUAAGGAUGAACACGAAUGCGGCCACUUUCGUUUUACACGAAAACCGUCUGAAAUUUAACUAAAAUGCUAGAAUUAUGAGGAUUUCAGUAAUUUAGCAUGACUUAAUGGUGCUAGUACCGGAUAUAUGUGCAUUGUAUUGUCAAAAACAGCCCAUAUUUAUGUAGCAGAAGCAUUCUACUGUCCAAUAAAUAACUAAAGGUUUACAUUUUAACAAUUUUGUAAAACUGCUAUAUUUUGGGGCCAAAAAGGGGUCUUACUGAACCUACUCCUUUAAAUAUAU